rnacentral:rRNA from 1 species
UGGGGAAUUUUGGACAAUGGGCGCAAGCCUGAUCCAGCAAUGCCGCGUGCAGGAUGAAGGCCUUCGGGUUGUAAACUGCUUUUGUACGGAACGAAAAGGCUCUGGUUAAUACCUGGAGCAUAUGACGGUACCGUAAGAAUAAGCACCGGCUAACUACGUGCCAGCAGCCGCGGUAAUACGUAGGGUGCGAGCGUUAAUCGGAAUUACUGGGCGUAAAGCGUGCGCAGGCGGUUUUGUAAGACAGAGGUGAAAUCCCGGGCUCAACCUGGGAACUGCCUUUGUGACUGCAAGGCUGGAGUGCGGCAGAGGGGGAUGGAAUUCCGCGUGUAGCAGUGAAAUGCGUAGAUAUGCGGAGGAACACCGAUGGCGAAGG